UAGGGUUUUGAGUCUCCAUGGAGAAUGCCA
rnacentral:piRNA from 1 species